rnacentral:lncRNA from 1 species
UGGGCACCAGGCACAGUGGGGAUUGGAUAAUCGGGGCCCACCCUCAGGCCUGGAGGCUGCGAGCCCCUGUGCAGGGUCAUUUCCUGCGAGGGGAGAGCCCGAAGGAACAGGUGCGACGGGAACCCAACAGCUGGUGUCUCAGAGAAAUCUGAAAUUAAUUCAGAGGCGAAGUCAGCCACGCUGGGAAGGGGGCCUUGCUGGCCUGCACCGUGGAUGGUUCCCCGGUCUCUGAAGAUGGCCAGUUCCCCAGGGUGGUCUGUCUGCACCGCCUCCAACUCUCAGGAAGCCUCGUUUGGAGCUGCCAGGAAAACCUCUGGCUCUGGGAGGCCCAGAAACGAAUGAGAGCGUCUCAGGAGCGCUGGGCUGGUGCCGGCUUCGCCAGCCACGCCACGAAGCCAGGUGGGGAGACAGACCCACCAGCCACAGCUGUCACUGGGCCACAUGGAGAAGUGGCAUGCCAGCUGAGGCCAGUCGGGGAGGCCUGUCUCCGUGAUAAACACCUGCCCCUCAUCCUGCACGCUGGCUGUCCACGGGAUGAGUGGGGACCCGGGGGCCAACCAGGCUGGUUCCAGCCCUGGCUUCUCUCCUGACUCCCUUGGACGAGUCCCCUCCCUUCUUUGAGCCUCAGUUUCUCCAUCUGAACAAUGGAGUCCCGAUCCUGAGAUUGCAGGUCUGUUGGGAGACUCGGAUACAGCACCGGGUGGUCUGCGCGUGGCAUGGGGGGACUCGGGGGCCACUGCCCUGGCUGUGAUUCCUGCCUCACUCUGCCCAGCCCCAGGAGAGGUUCAGUGAAGCGCUACAAGCCCUUGGGGUUAGCAUGAGGUGUCCAGCCCCACAGCACAACAGAUGCUUUUUUUCUUUCACCUUCACCUUGUUUGGAGAAAAUAAUACUUCUAUGAACAUGCAUGCACAGGCUUUUAUGUGGAUGUGUGUCUUUAUUUUCUUCUUUUUAUAAUAAUAAUUAUUAUUUUAAUCAAAACAGAGCUGGAGUAAUGUCUUCGUUUUUCCUGGGUAGAUGCGUGGGAGUGAGAUUGCUGGGUCUCAUGGUAAUUCCAUGUUGGACAUUUUUAAAAACUCCCAAACUGGCUGGGUGUGGUGGCUCACAACUGUAAUCCCAGCACUUUGGGAGGCUGAGGCGGGUGGAUCACCUGAGGCCAGGAGUUCGAGACCAGCCUAGCCAACAUGGUGAAACCCUGUCUCUACUAAAAACACAAAAAUUAGCUGGGCAUGGUGAUGCGCAUCUGUAUUCCCAGCUAUUCGGGAAGCUGAGGCAGGAGAAUCGCUUGAACCUGGGAGGCGGAGGUUGCAAUAAGCCAAGAUCAUGCUACUGCACUCUAGCCUGGGUGACAGACUGAGACUCUGUCUCAAAAAGUAAAAGAAUUAAAAAAAUAAAAUUAGGCCAGGCGCAGUGGCUCACACCUGUAAUCCCAGCACUUUGGGAGGCCGAGGCGGGCGGAUCACGAGAUCAGGAGAUCAAGACCAUCCUGGCUAACAUGGUGAAACCCCAUCUCUACUAAAAACACAAAAAAUUAGCCGGGUGGCCGGGCGCGGUGGCUCAAGCCUGUAAUCCCAGCACUUUGGGAGGCCGAGACGGGCGAAUCACGAGGUCAGGAGAUCAAGACCAUCCUGGCUAACACGGUGAAACCCCGUCUCUACUAAAAAAUACAAAAAACUAGCCAGGCAAGGUGGCGGGUGCCUGUAGUCCCAGCUACUCGGGAGGCUGAGGCAGGAGAAUGGCGUAAACCCGGGAGGCAGAGCUUGCAGUGAGCUGAGAUCUGGCCACUGCACUCCAGCCUGGAUGACAGAGCCAGACUCCGUCUCAAAAAAAAAAAAAAAAAAAAAAAAAUUAGCCGGGUGUUGUGGCGGGCGCCUGUAGUCCCAGCUACUCAGCAGGACAAUGGAGUGAACCCGGGAGGCGCAGGUUGCAGUGAAUUGAGAUCGCACCACUGCACUCCAGCCUGGGCGACAGAUAGAGACUCUGUCUCAAAAAAUAAAUAAAAUAAAAUAAAAUAAAUAAAAUAAAAUAAAAUAAAAUAAAAUAAGCCAGGCAUGGUGGUGCACAUCUGUGGUCUCAGGUCCUCCAGAGGCUAACAUGGGAGGAUCGCUUGAGCCCAGGAGUUCGAGGCUGCAGUGAUCUGUGAUUGCACCACUGCACUCCAGCCUGGGCAACAGCAAGACCCAAUCUCAAAAUAAACAAAAAGAAAAGAAAAGACAAACUAUUUGUCAAAAUGGAUGCAACCUUUUUCCCUGCCUACCAGCAGUGUGCUAGAGUUCUGACUUUCCGAUUUCUCCUCCUCACCAAUACUUGCCAAUAUCUGUCUGCUUUAUUUUAGUCAUCCUAGCGGGUGUGAGGGGCCGUCUCAUUUUAAUUUGUGUUUUCCUGAUGGCUGACAGUAUUUUCAUGUGCUUAUGGGCCAUUUUUAUAUCAUCUUUGGAGAAAUGUCUAUUCGGAUCCUUUGCUUAUUUAAAAAAUUGGGCUAUGUGUUUCUUGGUUAUUGAGUUAUAAUCGUUCUUUAUAUAUUUUAGACAUAAAUGUCUUAUCAGAAAUCCGUUUUGCAAAAAUGUUCUCCCAUUUUGCAGGUGUUUUUUUCCCUUUCUCGAUGACAUCCUUUGAAGUACAAAAGCUUCUAAUUUUGACGAAGUCCAGUGUAUCUAUUUUUUUCUUUUUUCUCUUGUGACUUUCAUGCCAUGUCUAGGAAGGCUUGGUCUAAUUCAAGAUGACAAAGAUUUUCUCCUGUGUUUUGUUUUCAGAGCUUUAGAGCUUCAGCUCUCACAUUUAGUUCUGUGAUUUUGUUUUUCUUUUUUUUUUUUUUUUUUUUUUUUAUACAGGGUCUCACUGUAUCACCCAGGCUGGAGUGCAGUGGCACAGUAAUAGCUCACCCAUACCUGCCCACUUGCUGACCUCCGGGCUGUGAAUACUCAGUCUUGGGCCUCAAGUCAAGCCCACAAAGUGAAGGCUUCCUGGGAUCAGGUGAUCCUCCCACUUCAGCUUCCCGCGUGGCUAGAACUACAGGCGUGUGCCACCAUGCUCAGCUAAUUUUUAAUUUUUUUAUAAAGUCAGAGUCUUGCUAUAUUGCACGGACUGGAGUGCAGUGGCAUGAUCAUAGCUCACUGCAGCCUCAAACUCCAGGUCCCCAGCGAUCCUCCCACCUCAGCCUCCCAAGUAGCUGGGACCACAGGCACACACCACCACACCUCGCUACUUUUUAAGUUUUUUGUAAAGACAGAGUCUUGCUAUAUUGCCCAGGCUGGAGUACAGUAGCAUAAUCACAGCUCACUGCAGCCUCGGACUCCUGAGCUCCAGCGAUCCUCCCACCUCGGCCUCCCAAGUAGCUGGGACCACAGGCACACUCCACCACAUCUGGCUAUUUAUU